UCCCACGACUGCAAAACGCGAAGAACCUUACCAGGCCUUGACAUGCAGAGAACUUUCCAGAGAUGGAUUGGUGCCUUCGGGAACUCCGACACAGGUGCUGCAUGGGCUGUCGUCAGCUCGUGUCGUGAGAUGUUGGGUUAAGUCCCGUAACGAGCGCAACCCUUGUCCUUAGUUACCAGCACGUUAUGGUGGGCACUCUAAGGAGACUGCCGGUGACAAACCGGAGGAAGGUGGGGAUGACGUCAAGUCAUCAUGGCCCUUACGGCCUGGGCUACACACGUGCUACAAUGGUCGGUACAGAGGGUUGCCAAGCCGCGAGGUGGAGCUAAUCUCACAAAACCGAUCGUAGUCCGGAUCGCAGUCUGCAACUCGACUGCGUGAAGUCGGAAUCGCUAGUAAUCGCGAAUCAGAAUGUCGCGGUGAAUACGUUCCCGGGUCUUGUACACACCG
rnacentral:rRNA from 1 species